rnacentral:piRNA from 9 species
CGCCUGCCACGCGGGAGGCCCGGGUU